GCCUGGGUGGCUCAGUCGGUUAAGCGUCCGACUUUGGCUCAGGUCAUGAUCUCACGGUUCGUGGGUUCGAGCCCCGUGUCAGGCU
rnacentral:tRNA from 1 species